AUCUACCUGACUUCAAUCAUAAUAUUUUCAACUACAUUACCUCUUGUAUUUGAUAAAAAUACAUUUGCACUUGCUGUAUAGAGAAAAGAGAGACACCCACCCCUGCCACUGCUGGUAUGAACGGCAGAGCUGCCACUGCUGCUCUGGAACAUCAACCAGUGAUUGUAUUCUGCACUGGAUGAAGCAUCAGGGGGGCAAAGGACCCCACCGCUCCCCAAUUUUGAACUCCCGAGGGAUACUCCGAAAACCCAUUGUUCUGUUGGAGUAGCCAAAUGAAAAAAAAAUAAGGCAGUGAAUAAUCAGCUCCGCACGAUGUGCAUUCACCGUCUGAGAUUAAUUCUUAUGCAGUCACGUGUGCUCGGACCCAGCAAUCGGGUACAGCUGCCUCCUCACCUAGGCUGUCAUCGCUACUUAUCAGGUAGGAGGUUCACAGCUUCUGAUGACGGCCCAGGGGGUCCCAGCAAACUGUGCUUUCAGAGAUGCUGAAGUUGAUCUACAGCGCCGACAUGGAGCGGUGUGAAACCAUCUGGCUCAACAGAUGCAGCGGAGCGGAAAGAAACACCUCGUGUCACCAGGGACCUUACAGUUUAUCCCAAGAACAAAUAAAUUAUUCCUCAUUCAGAAGAUAGCAACAAAGAGAAAGCAAGAUGAGGCUUGAAUACCUGUUCAGCUGCUCCUGAGCAAGACAGAAGACACCGUUUUGAAUGCAAGACAAAUUUGUGUCCACAAGGAUUGCACCACUGGAUUUUGGAGGGUAGGGCAGCACACCUGAGCUACACUUAAUGAGGGUGCUCUGAUAGCACAAGAUAUGCACAGCAGCCAGUCCGUCAUGUGCAAAGCGCAGUCAUUUCUGCCUGCUGAUAUUUGGUAUUAAUCAGCACACUGUCGUAAUUAAAAUUUAACACCUGAAUUAGAAAGAUUUUGAUCAUUAAUGAUUGCACGCAAUGCCACACUCAGCAUGAACUACCAGAUAAGCAUUUCCAUUUUGUG